rfam:Schistosoma rodhaini strain Burundi genome assembly, scaffold: SROB_scaffold0000759
AUCCAGCUGACGAGUCCCAAAUAGGAUGAAACGUACGUACUAGAU